rnacentral:rRNA from 1 species
GAUGAACGCUAGCGACAGGCUUACCACCUGCAAGUCGAGGGGCAUCAUGAGGUAGCAAUACCUUGAUGGCGACCGGCGCACGGGUGAGUAACGCGUAUGCAACCUGCCCGAUACCGGGGUAUAGCCCAUGGAAACGUGGAUUAACACCCCAUAGUACUUUUAUCCUGCCUGGGAUGGGCGUUAAAUGUUCAAGGUAUCGGAUGGGCAUGCGUCCUAUUAGUUAGUUGGCGGGGUAACCGCCCACCAAGACGAUGAUAGGUAGGGGUUCUGAGGCGAAGGUCCCCCACAUAGGAGCUGAUACACGGCCCAAACUCCGAGGGGAGUCAGCUGUGAGGAAUAUUGGUCAAUGGACGUAAGUCUGAACCAGCCUAGUCGCGUGAGUGAAGACUGCUCUAUGGGUUGUAAACCUCUUUUACAAGGGAAGAAUAAGUUCUACGUGUAGAAUGAUGCCUCAACCAUAUGAAUAAGCAUCGGCUAUCUCCGUGCCAGCAGACGCAGCCC